rnacentral:rRNA from 1 species
CCUACGGGAGGCAGCAGUGGGGAAUAUUGGGCAAUGGGCGCAAGCCUGACCCAGCAACGCCGCGUGCAGGCAGAAGGCUUUCGGGUUGUAAACUUCUUUUCUGGGGGACGAACAAAUGACGGUACCCCAGGAAUACGCCACGGCUAACUAAGUGCCAGCAGCCGCGGUAAUACGUCGGUGGCAAGCGUUAUCCGGCUGUCUUGGGUGUAAAGGGCGUGUAGGAGGGCAUGCAAGUCAGAUGGGAAAACUAAGGGCUCAACCCUGGGCCUGCAUUUGACACUGUGGUUCGUGAGUGUUGGAGAGGCGAGCGGAAUGCCGUGGGUAGCGGUGAAAUGCGUAGAUAUACGGAGGAACACCAGUGGCGAAGGCGGAUUGCUGGACAGUAACUGACGCUGAGGCGCGAAAGCGUGGGGAGCAAACAGGAGUAGAUACCCUUGUAGUC